AUGGUUGCCUCAGCUUUGCAGGGGGUUGCUCCGCGGCGGGUUCUGAGAGCCCAAGAGAUCGAAAUCUUUGUAGUCUCGAGAGACUGUUCCCUCUUUUCUCGGCAACAAGGGCUCGGGUGGUCUGACUCGCACAGCCCGGGAUGGGGAAGCAUCAUAGUUCGUCAAAGAGCCCCGAGCCCGCGGGGCCGCCGCUCUCCCUCCUACCCUUGCUCUCGGCCGGGAGACCAGACUGGCCUCGGCCAUCAGUGAGGUGGCCUCAGCCGAGGCUCCCGAAACCAACCCUGCGGCUCCGCUUGCGGCUCGCGGCGGCUUUCGCAAGAGCAGCCCUCGGCGCCGCGGGGCGCCCCCUCCGCUUCUGCUUCCUCGUCUGCGGGGCGCGGCCGCCUCUUGCGCCGCUGCCGGAGCGACGAGCCGAGACCUAGCCUCCUGGACAGGGACUGGGAGGAGCUCUGAUGAACAUACACCAGUAGAGGAUGAAGAGCCAAAGAAAAGCACCACUUCAGCUUCUACUUCAGAAGACGACAAGAAGAAGAAGAAGAAGUCUAGUCAUUCGAAAGAAAGGUCCAAGAAAAGGAGGAAGAAAAAAUCAUCUAAAAGAAAACACAGGAAGUAUUCUGACGAUAGUGACAGUGACUCUGAUUCUGAAACAGACUCCAGUGCAGUUCCUUUGGGCCAGAAUGGUUUCCAUUCCCCUAUAUGCUCUGCAAGAAGGGAGAGCAGUGAACAGAAUUUGGAGCAUCUAGAAGAAAACCAGGUGAAUGUUUGGAUGCCAACUUCGGAUAAAGCCCUAUGAAUAGUGGGCUUCUUAAGAAGAUUCCUGAGAGUCCAGGAUUGUGCCUGAGCUUCUCAUCAUGGAGCUCGACCCUGUCUUGCAACAUACUGUUCUCUCAGUAGGGACCUUCCCCACCCUGUCUUGUACGUGUAUGUAUCUAAGAAGUGCAGGGCCUAUUGACAGUGAGUUAGGGAUGUCACCUCAUGAAAAGAGACCACCUUGAUAUUCCUUAGCAAUUCUUACCCAUACAAUACUAACCCCACUUGGCACACAAAAACAAGUAUACGAGGGAAUUCACAUGUUUACUGAAAGUACGAAAAUGUGCCUUAUAAAAACACGAUGCAGUUUGCAUUUAUUCACUUCAUUUGUCAGGCCUUCGGUGAACUGCUCUUGAUGAUGUGCUAUGAAGAAUCUGAAUCUGGCAGAAAAACAUUUUGGAAAAACUGUCACCCUGGAAGAAAGUAUAUCUAUAUAUACUUAGAUAGAUAGACAGGCAGCACAGGUGUAGGAAAAGUGGUUCUAUUUUUUUUUCCUUUGGGAACUCAUGUUCCCAUUGAUAAUGGGCAAUUUCCACAAGUUGGAAUUUACUGAUCCCAUUUACUACCCAUUAAAGCCCCCAAAGUUUAAAACUUAUUUUCCAAUCAUUUAAAAGGCUACAAAAACAAACCAAUGUGAGAUAUACAGGACAAGAUGUCCAAGUCCUGAAGCAGGCUUUAGAAUGGCUGCCCUGCCAAGUUGCUUUUUUCAGGUUUACUGACCUGCAUUCUAGCUUCGGUCUCAUUCAUGCAUAUUGCAAGCUCCUUCCUGAGGGGAGGGAGCCACAAAUGUUUGGUAUUUGGAAAUGUGGAUGAAAUUAAAUAUACAGAUGUUAUUUCACGCUUGUUUUAAAAUUUCUAUUCCCCUCAGGCCCCCUACCCCAGUAUACUUUUCCAUAAUAACCAACUCAAGGCUUGCUUUAGAGGGUGGUUUCCUCUUCUGUACAAAAUUUAAUGUGGCACCAAAAAAAAUCAGGAAUCAAGAUAAAUAAUGUUUUAAUGCAGUAUUUAACAAGUAUCAAAAUUAGUGCAAAAAUAAUCCAUAAUGAAAAUACUACCUAAAUUUAAACAUAGGUAGGAUCUGACCCUGUACUUGCUUCACCGUGCCUCAUGAAUGGUUCCAAUAAAACG